rnacentral:rRNA from 1 species
GACGAACGCUGGCGGCGUGCUUUACACAUGCAAGUCGAACGGUGAAGGUGGAGCUUGCUCCGCCGGAUCAGUGGCGAACGGGUGAGUAACACGUGGGCAACCUGCCCCUAACUUUGGGAUAACUACUCGAAAGAGUAGCUAAUACCGGAUACGAAGUCUGUAGGCAUCUACGGAUUUGGAAAGUUUUUCGGUUAGGUAUGGGCCCGCAGCCUAUCAGCUUGUUGGGGAGGUGGUGGCUCACCAAGGGGCCAGAGGGUAGCCGGCCUGAGAGGGCGACCGGCCAAACUGGGACUGAGACACGGCCCCGACUCCUACGGGGGGCAGCAGUGGGGAAUAUUGCGCAAUGGGCGAAAGCCUGACGCAGCAACGCCGCGUGCGGGAUGAAGGCCUUCGGGUUGUAAACCGCUGUCAGCAGGGAAGAAGCGAAAGUGACGGUACCUGCAGAAGAAGCACCGGCUAACUACGUGCCAGCAGCCGCCGUAA